UUCUGGCCGGGCAAGUGCUGGUGGGCUGACGCACUUGGGGGCUGGUCGUUAUAAUAUGAUUUUUUUUUAUUGGCCAACGACCUAACCCACGAGACACCUAAUCAGCAGUCCAUUGGUUCUUUUUAUUUCACUUUUAUCUACCCCAAACAUGCUCUUUGGGAGCAUGCAGUGUCAGUGUGUGCAUGCAUCUGUUAAAAAUAGAGACGAGGGAGAAGCGAGUGAAGUGCGAAAUACUCUUUAACCUGCCCACUGGAGCUUGGAAUGCAAUUUGGGACAUUCUUCCAGUUGUCGGCAACUUUGUGAAAAAGGCUAUGUAAGAAUUUAUAGUCAGCCUUGACAAAGAUUCCACUCCAAUUUAGCUGUUGAAUAAAGCUCAUCCCUAUAAAAGGCUUGAUAAUCAUAAAAGCUAGAAACUAAAAUGCAGAAUUCUGGCCUGGUGUUUGGUCUGUGCUGUCUUUGGCUCUUGCAUCUCCAUCAUCCUGACCCUCUUUAGCAGCCUGUCCAUGUAUUUAUUUGAAGGCCACCAUGAGCACCCAUCUGCAUAAUAUGACUUUGUUACUCAGAUGUCCAUGCGCUCCUACAAAUUCUACAUUUUUUGUAAAGCUGCAACAAGUUGAAACCCUAUAAUUAUUAACGUUUGAUUUUGAACUAUGUAAUUAAAAUACAUGAAUAAGUAACAAAAGCAGAAAUCUAUUAAGACAUUACCUUUUUGUUGCUUGUUUACUGAUCUAUCAAUCCUUUUGCAUUUUCAUAAUUGAUCAUCAUAACUUGGUAUACAGUGGAUGUGUGGCUGUAGAUAACUUCUGAAGUCAAUUUAAAAAGACAAAAGUUAAUAAAUGCUGAAUUGGUCAAAUAUACAUUGUUGUAUUUUCACCAUUUUGAUGUUUAGGCAUUUCAUAAAUUGAGGGUUAAUUCACGUAUACUGAUGUUUCAAAUCAAAGAUUAUUUAUUAAUGACAGCUAAUUAUUUUAUAAAGAUUUUUAUUACAAUAUUUAUUUGUAUAAUAUCAAUUUAAUACAUUUAAUUCGUUACACCUACAUCACUGAGCGCAAGGGAGUGCAGCCAACAAAUACAUUCAGGUGUGUUUGACUUAACACCGAGAUGCGCAGACAGCACGUGGUAUGACAUCAAAGUACCGCGAGAGUUUGGGAAAGCCCCUGAAAAGGUUUGAACUCGCGGUAUUUGAUGUCACGAUCGGUUUGCGCGUAGAUCAGCAUGAAGUCAAACACAUCUGAGAGAUGUGUGGGCUGCCUGCACUCAACGUUGCGAUCUUGCGAUAAUUCAGUAGAGUGUAACCUCAGUCGUUUUUUGCAGCUUCUGGGUGUCGUGUCGAACGAUAGCAGAACGAUCUUUUGUUCUUUUCCAACUCGAUUUUUAACUCCCUAAACUAGUAGGAUGUUCCGACGGGUGAAGCAACAGUGCUGACGGCAGAGUUUCAGUGUCAAUUUUUCAUGCCAUGAUCACUGGGGCGGAAACCAUUAUGACGUUGCCUUGGACAUCAAACUAAACCAUCUCAUUCUGGCUUUUCUCUAACAUCGAAAUCUCAGAAGGACAGGACUAAGAUGGACGCAGCCUACACAGGAUGCAACCUUGCAUUUGAGGAACACCCAUAGAACGGAGAAAGUCAUUGGUUCUUCUGCUGAGGUUGUCAUAAAGCAUGCUUUUUCCAUUUGUUGCAUUGGGCAAUAUUAUCAAAAGAUUCUGAAAGAAAUAAGAUAAUUUUCAAAGCAUUAACAUGAAUAUGAAAGCAUUAGGUCAUUAAUGACCAUCUUUUAUUAUUGUUUAUUUACAGUGUCUUUAAUUCUGCUUACCUGACUCAUGCAGAAUUCUGGCUUGAUGUUCGGUCCACCUGUUAGCUGGCUCUGGUGCUUGGUAGUCUUCUCACUCAAACCUCUGAAUCAAGACCACCAUGAGAGGCCUUCUGAAGACCAUCAUUACGCUUCAGAUCCAGUUGUCUUUACUAUGAGAUGGGACUGAACUGGAGUCUGUGAACUAAUGCUGUGUUCGAGACAACUUGGAUGUUGGAUAUUAUUGACCUCAAACCCGUAAGAAGUCUGGAACAGCAAACAAAGUUGAGUAUCCGACCUCUCAACUUGGGACAGAUCGAUCAACACCGACCUCAAAGAGAUGCAUCAUUUGACAUUGCAGACAAAUCCUUUCUCUUUUUAAUGCAGAACUUAAGGAUGAACCACCCUGAUCUACUUAGAUGCACAGAUUCAACUCUGGCCCAGCAUCAUCCCCACACCUCAUCUGCCAUCAGUUUAAUUUAAUGUCUGUCAAUUGCAAAGGCUAUUUAUUUCAGUUAUAUUACAACUUAAUGUUAACUUUAAUUGAGACUAGUAUUGUGUAAAGCUGGGGUUUCCAAACUUUUAAUUUCAAAACCUAUUAGACAAGUGUAAUCUAUUUUAGACCCACUAAAAUAUUUUUUUAAUGGGGUAAAACACAUUUGUUCUCUUUCAGUGGAGUUAUUUUAUUUUCAUAAUAUUUCAUAA